rnacentral:rRNA from 1 species
UACAGAGGUCCCAAGCGUUGUUCGGAUUCACUGGGCGUAAAGGGUGCGUAGGUGGCGGGGUAAGUCGGAUGUGAAAUCUCCGAGCUCAACUCGGAAAUGGCAUUGGAAACUACCUUGCUCGAGGGUUGGAGGGGGGACUGGAAUACUUGGUGUAGCAGUGAAAUGCGUAGAUAUCAAGUGGAACACCAGUGGCGAAGGCGAGUCCCUGGACAACUCCUGACACUGAGGCACGAAAGCUAGGGGAGCAAACAGG